rnacentral:lncRNA from 1 species
UGGAAUUAUCAGCUUUUCCAUGGUCAGACUACUUAAUGACACCAUAACCAUUUGGCUAAUUAUCUAUUUCUUGCAAUUUAGUAUAUUAAUACAUCCUAUUUUGUAAACUAAAAUAUGUAAAUACUUCCUUUACUCUGGAAUUCUUGUUGAGCACCAUGCUUCUGAACACCAUCUGUCUCAUGCCAAGAUGAUUGGCUACAGCAAAGAAGUAGCUGAAUUCGUCGCAUCACUGAUGUGAGAGAAUCUCUUGUUCCAUAUGGAGUUGCAUUUUCUUUAACAUGUUGAACCAGAUGGCAUGAAGGACCUUGUUUCAAUGAUAUAUGGGUUCAUAAAUCUUCUCAUCCGUCUCUUGUGGUUCCCAAUUUUUACAGUUCUUACCAUGAUACUUUCAUGCAAUGGCUGAUUGUGUGAUCUUUCAGUUAUUAUUUUUUAUUAUUGUUGUUUAUUCUUUUUGCCCCUUUGAGCACUUAACUCUCAACUGCAGGUGGAACCGGCUGUUGGAGCAGCAUUGCUGGCUUGGAAUCAUUUCAUGAAAGAAUUUAAAGGUGAUCAUGGAAGCUGAUCUGAUUAAAGUUGUCUGAAUAUCAAUGAAGGUGUUUACUUACAGCAACACAUUUAAACAUCGAAGCUGAAAGAAAGAUAAACAGGAAUAUUGCUCAACUGUCACUAGCAGCUCUGUCGGCGUUAAAACUUUCAGCAGUUGUGUGACCUCAUAACUGAAUUUUAUAGUCAACGCAUGCAAUUUCUGUUUUUUCUUUCUCUCUCUUUUUAUCAAUUCAAGGCUU